rnacentral:rRNA from 1 species
AUGGCCAUGGGCACAUCCUCUUCGAUUCUCGGCGGCGCUCUCCUCCUUGUCCUCGUCCUCUCCCUGGCCAUUGAUGUUCACGGUGGAUCAAGCUCCAGCGCCGCGCCACGUUCCCCGCUGGAUGACCUCUGCAACAGCCUCGGCAGCCACUACGUCACGUCGGACAUGUGUGUGUCCGCGCUCUGCAUCGACAACUCCUGCCGCUCUGCACGCAGCUUGCCGGAGCUCGUGGUGCUCGCCACCAGGCUGACAGUGACCAAUGGCACGGUAGCCAAGGCCAGCAUCGAGUCUGCGCUCGCCCAUGCCAAGGACGCCAAGUUCAAGAAGGUCAUGCGGUCGUGCCUGCAGCUCUACGUCGGCGCCGUCCCGCGGCUGCAGUGGGCGGCACGGUCGGUCGCUGGGGGGCGCUAUAGCGGCGUUUCGGAGGUGCUAGAGGCGGCCUGUUGGCACGUCUCGGCAGAGUGCAUCAAUUUGGCCGGCGAGGUGGCGCUUCCCAAGGAGAACGGUGAGUUCUUCAGGAUGGCCUACAUCGUGCAGGCCGUCGUCGACUGGGUGAAGCUUAGUAUCGGUCACUGA